GGUUUUGUUCUUCUGCUGUUAACGUUUGAAUCCCUGAGCCACCGUCUCUUUCUUUCUUUGAUCUGCAGAAACACAGAGAGAGAUGGGUUGAGACAGGUUUGCUUCCCAGAAGGAGAGUACAAUACAUUUUUUUUUUUAAGAAUUUCUUCAAAUUCAUUCUGAAUAUUUGCAUGUCACCGAUUUCGGUUUGGGUGAUGCAGGCGUUGCUGAGAUUGUUAUUCAUUUUGAAAAUUUUGGAUUUUCAAAGGAGAUGAGGGCAGUGUGGAAACAAAUUGACUGAGAAUUUUUAAGGAGGAGCAACGCAUUAUCAAAUUAAAAGGACUGAGGGGUACUGUUCGUGCUUCAGUUUGGGAUUUGAGUGAUUGAUUGGAGGAGGU